GGAAUAUUGGACAAUGGAGGCAACUCUGAUCCAGCCAUGCCGCGUGAAGGAAGAAUGUCCUACGGAUUGUAAACUUCUUUUAUUUGCGAAGAAACCUUCGGACGUGUCCGAAGCUGCCGGUAGUAUAUGAAUAAGCACCGGCUAACUCCGUGCCAGCAGCCGCGGUAAUACGGAGGGUGCAAGCGUUAUCCGGAUUUAUUGGGUUUAAAGGGUCCGUAGGCGGAUCAUUAAGUCAGUGGUGAAAGCCGACAGCUCAACUGUCGAACUGCCAUUGAUACUGGUGAUCUUGAGUAUGGUUGAAGUAGGCGGAAUAUGACAUGUAGCGGUGAAAUGCUUAGAUAUGUCAUAGAACACCGAUUGCGAAGGCAGCCUACUAAGCCGUUACUGACGCUGAGGGACGAAAGUGUGGGGAGCGAACAGGAUUAGAUACCCUGGUAGUCCACACCGUAAACGAUGAUUACUCGGUAUUGGCUUUAUUGUCAGUGCCCAAGCGAAAGUGAUAAGUAAUCCACCUGGGGAGUACGGACGCAAGGUUGAAACUCAAAGGAAUUGACGGGGGCCCGCACAAGCGGU
rnacentral:rRNA from 1 species